GAGAAGCGGCAGUCACAUCAUUUUAAUAUUGAAGAAGGAAGAACAUAUGCAACAUGUUCGGCAUAUACGCUUUAUUAUUUCAAGAAAAGUAAAAAUGCAACUGAAACACAAAAAAAGAUCUGUGCAGUGUGUGGAAA